rnacentral:snoRNA from 1 species
GACCUCUCAGGGUCACAACCGGGAGAGUUUCCAGUACUCCACCAGUCUCGACUAUAGGAGGGAGAGUCAAGCAGAGGCAUACCCAUUUCAUUCCUGGCUUGGGCAGUGGCUAGCAAGUGGAAGGCACUCCGCUACAAGU